AGUAGUCAAUGUUAUCUAUGAGUUAGGGUUCGGAAGAGAGCUCAAGGGUGGGGAUAAAGAGUAACUGGGACAUAGACUGUUGGGCAUGGUGUCUCUGGAUGCUUGGUUGAAACGUUUUUUGUUUUUGUUUUGUUUUGUUUUUUUUUGAGACGGAGUCUCGCUCUGUCGCCCAGGCUGGAGUGCAGUGGCGCGAUCUCAGCGUUAUGAUUGAUCCCGUUACCCAUGUGGUGAGCAUAGUAGUCAAAAGUUAGUUUUUCUUUUUUUCUUUUUUCUUUUUUUUUGAGAUGGAGUCUUGCUCUGUCGCCCAGGCUGGAGUGCAGUGGCACGAUUGCGGGCGCCUGUAGUCCCAGCUACUCGGGAGGCUGAGGCAGGAGAAUGGCGUGAACCCGGAAGGCGCAGCUUGCAGUGAGCCGAGAUCGUGCCACUGCACUCCAGCCUGGG
rnacentral:lncRNA from 10 species